UACGGAGGGGGCUAGCGUUGUUCGGAAUUAUUGGGCGUAAAGGGCGCGUAGGCGGCCGAAUAAGUCUGACGUGAAAUCCCCCGGCCCAACCGGGGAACUGCGUUUGAUACUGUUCGGCUCGAGUCCGGGAGAGGGUAGUGGAAUUCCAGGUGUAGCGGUGAAAUGCGUAGAUAUCUGGAGGAACACCGGUGGCGAAGGCGGCAUCCUGGACCGGCAUUGACGCUGAGGCGCGAAAGCUAGGGGAGCAAACGGG
rnacentral:rRNA from 1 species